UACGGAGGAGGCAAGCGUUGUUCGGAAUUACUGGGCGUAAAGGGCUCGUAGGCGGCCAACUAAGUCGGAUGUGAAAUCCCCAGGCUUAACCUGGGAACUGCAUCCGAUACUGGAUGGCUUGAAUCCGGGAGAGGGAUGCAGAAUUCCAGGUGUAGCGGUGAAAUGCGUAGAUAUCUGGAGGAAUACCGGUGGCGAAGGCGGCAUCCUGGACCGGCAUUGACGCUGAGUGAGCGAAAGCCAGGGGAGCAAACGGG
rnacentral:rRNA from 1 species